rnacentral:lncRNA from 1 species
CAUAUAGAAAAUAAGUGCAAAGAAGGAAGCGAUUGUGAUUAUGCUCAUUCAGUUGAAGAUUUAAGAAGUAUACCAGAUUUAAAAAGAACUAAAUUAUGUUAUAAAUUAUUAAAAGGAGAAAAAUGUUUUAAUAAAAAUUGUAAUUAUGCACAUAAUCAAGAGGAGCUUAAAUCUGCACAAAAUUUAUUUGCAUAUAAAUCUUCUAUGUGCAAAUUUUUUUGCAAAUAAAACUUGCCUUAAUGGUCAUACAUGUCGUUUUGCGCAUACAUUAGAUGAAUUAAGAGUACCUAGAAUACCAGAAAUAUUAUUAGAAAAAAGUAAUACAGGUACAGGAGGAAAUAUAAAUGUAACAAGUUGUUUAUAUAACAGUGAAAAAACAGAAACUGUACCAUGUGAGAAUGGAGAAGUAAAAAUGAAAAAUACUGAUGGGGAAGAUAAUUAUAUAUACGACGGAGUUGGUAAGCACAUUAAUGAUAAUAACAAUAAUAACAUUAACAGUAAUAAUAACAUUAACAGUAAUAAUAACAUUAACAGUAAUAGUAACAAUAAUAACAUUAAUAACAAUAAUAACAAUAAUAACAUUAACAGUAAUAAGAAAGAUAAUUAUAAUGUGAACUAUAAUAAUCAAUAUAAUGAAAGUUAUAAUAAUAAUGUUGAUGUAUUUGUAAAUACAUUUAAUAAAAUGCAUAUAACAAAUAAUACAAAGAGAUAUAAUACUGGUAGCAAUCAUAACAAUAACAAAAUGAACAAUAAUAACAUUAGUAAUGGAAUCUACAACAAUAAGAACUCGAAUAAUAAGCACUACAACAACAAUAAGAACUACAAAAACAAUAACAACAAUAACAAGAACAAUAACAAUAACAAUAACAAUAACGUUAAUAAUAUAUAUAGGAAGAACGGAAUGGAUAACAACAAGGACGAAAGAAAAAAGAAAGAGAAGAAUAAAAAAAAAAAUGAAGAAAAACAAAUGAAAAAUUAUAAUAAUAAUAAUAAUAGUAAUAAUAAUAAUAGUAAUAAUUAUAAUUAUAUUAGUAAUAAUAGUAAUAAUAAUAAUAGUAAUAAUUAUAAUUAUAAUAAUAAUAAUAGUAAUAAUUAUAAUUAUAAUAAUAAUAAUAAUAAUAAUAAUUAUAAUAAUAGUAAUAAUAAUAAUAAUAACAGUAAUAAUAAUAAUAAUAACAGUAAUAAUAAUUACAAUAUGAAUAAUAAAUCAUCCAAUAAAAACACACGAUUAAAAGCAAAUGUUUACAAUAAUAACUAUAGUAACAUUAGUAAAAAAAAUACAAUGUACGGAAAAUAUAAUUAUAACGAAAAACAAAAUAAUCAAAUAAAUGUACAACAUAAAAACGAGAAAUUAAAACAAAAUCAAAAUAAAAAUGCAUCCCAAAUUGUUAUGUUAAACACCCAACAAAACAAUAAAAACAUUAAUAAAAACAUUAAUAACGACAAUAAUAACGACAAUAAUAAAAACAUUAAUAACGACAAUAAUAAAAACAUUAAUAACGACAGUAAUAACGACAGUAAUAACGACAGUAAUAAAUAUAAUA